UGCCAGCCGCCGCGGUAAUACGGAGGGUGCAAGCGUUGUUCGGAAUUAUUGGGCGUAAAGCGCGUGUAGGCGGUUCGUUAAGUCUGAUGUGAAAGCCCGGGGCUCAACCCCGGAAGUGCAUUGGAAACUGGCGAACUUGAGUACGGGAGAGGAAAGUGGAAUUCCGAGUGUAGCGGUGAAAUGCGUAGAUAUUACAGAGAACACCGGUGGCGAAGGCGGCUCACUGGCCUGAUACUGACGCUGAGGCGCGAAAGCUAGGGGAGCGAACAGGAUUAGAUA
rnacentral:rRNA from 1 species